rnacentral:rRNA from 1 species
UUAAGUUAUUAAGGGCGCACGGUGGAUGCCUUGGCACUAGAAGCCGAUGAAGGACGUUACUAACGACGAUAUGCUUUGGGGAGCUGUAAGUAAGCUUUGAUCCAGAGAUUUCCGAAUGGGGAAACCCAGCAUGAGUUAUGUCAUGUUAUCGAUAUGUGAAUACAUAGCAUAUCAGAAGGCACACCCGGAGAACUGAAACAUCUUAGUACCCGGAGGAAGAGAAAGAAAAUUCGAUUCCCUUAGUAGCGGCGAGCGAAACGGGAAGAGCCCAAACCAACAAGCUUGCUUGUUGGGGUUGUAGGACACUCUAUACGGAGUUACAAAGGACGACAUUAGACGAAUCAUCUGGAAAGAUGAAUCAAAGAAGGUAAUAAUCCUGUAGUCGAAAAUGUUGUCUCUCUUGAGUGGAUCCUGAGUACGACGGAGCACGUGAAAUUCCGUCGGAAUCUGGGAGGACCAUCUCCUAAGGCUAAAUACUCUCUAGUGACCGAUAGUGAACCAGUACCGUGAGGGAAAGGUGAAAAGCACCCCGGAAGGGGAGUGAAAUAGAACCUGAAACCGUGUGCUUACAAGUAGUCAGAGCCCGUUAAUGGGUGAUGGCGUGCCUUUUGUAGAAUGAACCGGCGAGUUACGAUUUGAUGCAAGGUUAAGCAGUAAAUGUGGAGCCGUAGCGAAAGCGAGUCUGAAUAGGGCGUUUAGUAUUUGGUCGUAGACCCGAAACCAGGUGAUCUACCCUUGGUCAGGUUGAAGUUCAGGUAACACUGAAUGGAGGACCGAACCGACUUACGUUGAAAAGUGAGCGGAUGAACUGAGGGUAGCGGAGAAAUUUCAAUCGAACCUGGAGAUAGCUGGUUCUCUCCGAAAUAGCUUUAGGGCUAGCCUCAAGUGAUGAUUAUUGGAGGUAGAGCACUGUUUGGACGAGGGGCCCCUCUCGGGUUACCGAAUUCAGACAAACUCCGAAUGUCAAUUAAUUUAACUUGGGAGUCAGAACAUGGGUGAUAAGGUCCGUGUUCGAAAGGGAAACAGCCCAGACCACCAGCUAAGGUCCCAAAAUAUAUGUUAAGUGGAAAAGGAUGUGGCGUUGCCCAGACAACUAGGAUGUUGGCUUAGAAGCAGCCAUCAUUUAAAGAGUGCGUAAUAGCUCACUAGUCGAGUGACACUGCGCCGAAAAUGUACCGGGGCUAAACAUAUUACCGAAGCUGUGGAUUGUCCUUUGGACAAUGGUAGGAGAGCGUUCUAAGGGCGUUGAAGCAUGAUCGUAAGGACAUGUGGAGCGCUUAGAAGUGAGAAUGCCGGUGUGAGUAGCGAAAGACGGGUGAGAAUCCCGUCCACCGAUUGACUAAGGUUUCCAGAGGAAGGCUCGUCCGCUCUGGGUUAGUCGGGUCCUAAGCUGAGGCCGACAGGCGUAGGCGAUGGAUAACAGGUUGAUAUUCCUGUACCACCUAUAAUCGUUUUAAUCGAUGGGGGGACGCAGUAGGAUAGGCGAAGCGUGCGAUUGGAUUGCACGUCUAAGCAGUAAGGCUGAGUAUUAGGCAAAUCCGGUACUCGUUAAGGCUGAGCUGUGAUGGGGAGAAGACAUUGUGUCUUCGAGUCGUUGAUUUCACACUGCCGAGAAAAGCCUCUAGAUAGAAAAUAGGUGCCCGUACCGCAAACCGACACAGGUAGUCAAGAUGAGAAUUCUAAGGUGAGCGAGCGAACUCUCGUUAAGGAACUCGGCAAAAUGACCCCGUAACUUCGGGAGAAGGGGUGCUCUUUAGGGUUAACGCCCAGAAGAGCCGCAGUGAAUAGGCCCAAGCGACUGUUUAUCAAAAACACAGGUCUCUGCUAAACCGUAAGGUGAUGUAUAGGGGCUGACGCCUGCCCGGUGCUGGAAGGUUAAGAGGAGUGGUUAGCUUCUGCGAAGCUACGAAUCGAAGCCCCAGUAAACGGCGGCCGUAACUAUAACGGUCCUAAGGUAGCGAAAUUCCUUGUCGGGUAAGUUCCGACCCGCACGAAAGGCGUAACGAUUUGGGCACUGUCUCAACGAGAGACUCGGUGAAAUCAUAGUACCUGUGAAGAUGCAGGUUACCCGCGACAGGACGGAAAGACCCCGUGGAGCUUUACUGUAGCCUGAUAUUGAAAUUCGGCACAGCUUGUACAGGAUAGGUAGGAGCCUUUGAAACGUGAGCGCUAGCUUACGUGGAGGCGCUGGUGGGAUACUACCCUAGCUGUGUUGGCUUUCUAACCCGCACCACUUAUCGUGGUGGGAGACAGUGUCAGGCGGGCAGUUUGACUGGGGCGGUCGCCUCCUAAAAGGUAACGGAGGCGCUCAAAGGUUCCCUCAGAAUGGUUGGAAAUCAUUCAUAGAGUGUAAAGGCAUAAGGGAGCUUGACUGCGAGACCUACAAGUCGAGCAGGGUCGAAAGACGGACUUAGUGAUCCGGUGGUUCCGCAUGGAAGGGCCAUCGCUCAACGGAUAAAAGCUACCCCGGGGAUAACAGGCUUAUCUCCCCCAAGAGUUCACAUCGACGGGGAGGUUUGGCACCUCGAUGUCGGCUCAUCGCAUCCUGGGGCUGUAGUCGGUCCCAAGGGUUGGGCUGUUCGCCCAUUAAAGCGGUACGCGAGCUGGGUUCAGAACGUCGUGAGACAGUUCGGUCCCUAUCCGUCGUGGGCGUAGGAAAUUUGAGAGGAGCUGUCCUUAGUACGAGAGGACCGGGAUGGACAUACCUCUGGUGUACCAGUUGUCGUGCCAACGGCAUAGCUGGGUAGCUAUGUGUGGACGGGAUAAGUGCUGAAAGCAUCUAAGCAUGAAGCCCCCCUCAAGAUGAGAUUUCCCAACUUCGGUUAUAAGAUCCCUCAAAGAUGAUGAGGUUAAUAGGUUCGAGGUGGAAGCAUGGUGACAUGUGGAGCUGACGAAUACUAAUCGAUCGAAGACUUAAUCAA